CUACACCCCAUACAUACUGUAACUACACCCCAUACAUACUGUAACUACACCCCAUACAUACUGUAACUACACCCCAUACAUACUGUAACUACACCCCAUACAUAGUCACAUACAUUUCUAUAUGUUUUGACUCACGCACUCACACACUCUUCAUCAGGUAUCCACUUCGUGUGGGUGGGUUACAUGUACAAUUAUAACCUCUGCCGUGUCCUUUAUAGAACCUGGUGGGUGUGACACUCCUGAGACCAGAAAAAAUAUCAGGCUUGUAACUUGGCUGGUGAAGGCACUGCCUCCCUUAUUCUGUCCAAACAGCCCCCUUUUGCUUCGUAUCUUUCUCCAGUCCAGUCCGGCUCAGUGGGCCCCUAUAACACUGGUCCCAACCCUCACCACCAAGAACCUGUCUUUAACUCUGGCUCUGUUUCUGAUUUGUUUGUGUAGUGGUGACUUUGUCGUGAUGUUCCUCUGCCUCUUUGCGUGAUUUGCUAUUUUUAUUUAAUUUGGCAAAUUUCAAGCAUGGCAAAAAUAUAGUAUUUUGUCAAAUGUAUCCUUUUUCUACACCAAGUUUGUUUUUUAAAUGUUGUAAAAGUCUCAGCAUUUGUUAAGGCGCAAGUACCACCCGCCUGCUAACUGCAACUUGAGGGCUUUUCUGUUUGAUUUGUGAAACAUUUUAAAGCAACAGUGCUUUGGUUUUGUUGAAGAGAGAAACGUUGGUUGGAAUUUAAAAGUGAGGCACACCUUCCGUCUGGAAUGAUGUUGAGCUGCUUGCAAUCAUACCAAUUCCCCUGCUACCCCCAAACAACACUUUGAAACAGGAACUAUCACAGUACCUAAAUCUGUGUGUUAUCCUUCCUUCUUUCACACUGGCAGUUGAAACGGUUCAACAUGGAAUCUGUGACAUGUCCGGCUAAAGAGCCUCCAUCUCUCCCGCUCCAAUCUGACAGUCAGAACACCACCUAUUACAUUGUGUAGUUUUAUGAGGCUUGUGUGUCAUAAUGUUGUGUUUUACUGCGAAGGGAGGCGGGACAGGAAAGCAGCAGGGGUCCUGUGCUACAGUAACCAUUUGUUUUAGUCUGGCAGAAUGCUGUAAUCCUGUUUAGUAUAUUGGGACUGUAGAAGUAUGAUAGUUCAAAUACAUAUUAUUUUCUUUCCGUGGACAUUCGACUAACAAACAUGAAAGCGUGCAAACCUAGAAACUGUAAAAUGUUGAGAUGAGAUGGCACAAUCCGAAAACGAAAUAAGGCGUUUUUUUAAAAACCUUAAACUUAAUAUUAAUGUAAUGUUCAGUCGUACUUAAUAAAGUGUAGUGUGAUUUUCUACAUUUGCUUGUAUGGCAGAUGUUAGUUGUAUACUUGAAAGUCAUUGAAAUGAAUGAGAAUCUCAACCUCACAGUCUAAUUAUGGAUUAUUUAUUACUAUUGUGUUUUAUUAUGAAUCAAUCUGUGAAAGAUGGAAUGCCUUUUUUCAGCCUCUAAUCGUUAGCUCAAUCUUUACAACACAUCAGGCCUAUAUUGGAAGUAGUAUUAAAACUAUAGCAGAAAAAGUAUAGUGUAUAUAUUUUAGUAUUUUAAUUCUGUAAUGAAAAUCACUCCAUAUAAUACAAGGAUACUUUGCCUAAAUUAUUUCAUUACAAAAUGCUAGUGAGGUUUUGUUCAUGAACGUCAAACCCCCCCCAGACUGGGAGAUAGAGUGUCUUGCUGCAGUUAGAUAUAUCUGGACUAGGGGUUGUAGGGAGUCUUGCUACAGUCAGAUAUAUCUGGACUAGGGGUUGUAGGGAGUCUUGCUACAGUCAGAUAUAUCUGGACUAGGGGUUGUAGGGAGUCUUGCUACAGUCAGAUAUAUCUGGACUAGGGGUUGUAGGGAGUCUUGCUGCAGUCAGAUAUAUCUGGACUAGGGGUUGUAGGGAGUCUUGCUACAGUCAGAUAUAUCUGGACUAGGGGUUGUAGGGAGUCUUGCUGCAGUCAGAUAUAUCUGGACUAGGGGUUGUAGGGAGUCUUGCUACAGUCAGAUAUAUCUGGACUAGGGGUUGUAGGGAGUCUUGCUACAGUCAGAUAUAUCUGGACUAGGGGUUGUAGGGAGUCUUGCUACAGUCAGAUAUAUCUGGACUAGGGGUUGUAGGGAGUCUUGCUGCAGUCAGAUAUAUCUGGACUAGGGGUUGUAGGGAGUCUUGCUACAGUCAGAUAUAUCUGGACUAGGGGUUGUAGGGAGUCUUGCUGCAGUCAGAUAUAUCUGGACUAGGGGUUGUAGGGAGUCUUGCUACAGUCAGAUAUAUCUGGACUAGGGGUUGUAGGGAGUCUUGCUGCAGUCAGAUAUAUCUGGACAAGGGGUUGUAGGGAGUCUUGCUACAGUCAGAUAUAUCUGGACUAGGGGUUGUAGGGAGUCUUGCUGCAGUCAGAUAUAUCUGGACUAGGGGUUGUAGGGAGUCUUGCUACAGUCAGAUAUAUCUGGACUAGGGGUUGUAGGGAGUCUUGCUGCAGUCAGAUAUAUCUGGACUAGGGGUUGUAGGGAGUCUUGCUACAGUCAGAUAUAUCUGGACUAGGGGUUGUAGGGAGUCUUGCUACAGUCAGAUAUAUCUGGACUAGGGGUUGUAGGGAGUCUUGCUACAGUCAGAUAUAUAUGGACUAGGGGUUGUAGGGAGUCUUGCUGCAGUCAGAUAUAUCUGGACUAGGGGUUGUAGGGAGUCUUGCUACAGUCAGAUAUAUCUGGACUAGGGGUUGUAGGGAGUCUUGCUGCAGUCAGAUAUAUCUGGACUAGGGGUUGUAGGGAGUCUUGCUGCAGUCAGAUAUAUCUGGACUAGGGGUUGUAGGGAGUCUUGCUGCAGUCAGAUAUAUCUGGACUAGGGGUUGUAGGGAGUCUUGCUACAGUCAGAUAUAUCUGGACUAGGGGUUGUAGGGAGUCUUGCUACAGUCAGAUAUAUCUGGACUAGGGGUUGUAGGGAGUCUUGCUACAGUCAGAUAUAUCUGGACUAGGGGUUGUAGGGAGUCUUGCUACAGUCAGAUAUAUCUGGACUAGGGGUUGUAGGGAGUCUUGCUACAGUCAGAUAUAUCUGGACUAGGGGUUGUAGGGAGUCUUGCUGCAGUCAGAUAUAUCUGGACUAGGGGUUGUAGGGAGUCUUGCUACAGUCAGAUAUAUCUGGACUAGGGGUUGUAGGGAGUCUUGCUGCAGUCAGAUAUAUCUGGACUAGGGGUUGUAGGGAGUCUUGCUGCAGUCAGAUAUAUCUGGACUAGGGGUUGUAGGGAGUCUUGCUGCAGUCAGAUAUAUCUGGACUAGGGGUUGUAGGGAGUCUUGCUACAGUCAGAUAUAUCUGGACUAGGGGUUGUAGGGAGUCUUGCUACAGUCAGAUAUAUCUGGACUAGGGGUUGUAGGGAGUCUUGUUACAGUCAGAUAUAUCUGGACUAGGGGUUGUAGGGAGUCUUGCUACAGUCAGAUAUAUCUGGACUAGGGGUUGUAGGGAGUCUUGCUACAGUCAGAUAUAUCUGGACUAGGGGUUGUAGGGAGUCUUGCUACAGUCAGAUAUAUCUGGACUAGGGGUUGUAGGGAGUCUUGCUACAGUCAGAUAUAUCUGGACUAGGGGUUGUAGGGUAAAUGGGGGCUGUACUGUAGAGGCAGAGAGGAGAGAGCCUUUCCAAGGUUAGUGUCCCCACCCCCACACUUCAGAUAGCAGUCUUUAACAGAUAAUGUAGGAAUGAAUUUGCCUCAUCGCCCAGAGAAACACAACAGAGCAUUCUGAAGAAGGUGAAUAGAUUUCAGGAUGGGGCGGAACGAUACAACGAUAAAAACAAUUGAAUAGCAAAGGUAUGGAGAAACAAUUAGAAGGAAAGCUAAUCAAACUCUGUGUUCUUUGGCGGAAGCUGUUGUCUUGGAAUGGGGUGUCCUUGCAUGUUGCUAUAACAAUGGAGCAGCAACAUCAUUCUCAGGCGGAGGUGUGUCUCUUCUGUUUUAUUAACCUUUUCUCAAGGAAAUGGUUGACGUCUCUCUCUCUCUCUCUCUCUCUCUCUCGCUCUCUCUCGCUCUUCUUUCAAAGUGUUUCUCCCGAUGUCCGUUAUUCCUUCCUCCCCUGGUUCCCAACACUGGGGAGGCCUGACAUUGGCCCACGAUGUUUCAUAUCAAUACAGUUCCCUGUAAAACAAUGUGAGAUUCUAGAUUCUAGACGUGUUUGAGCUGUUUGUUUCUUAACACCUGUUUCCCCCACCUGUAUCCCAAUGUAAAGGAUGCAAGAUGUCUCAUCAGAAAUGAUGCCAUCUGCCAAUACAUUUUAAAGCUGUUUAUAGAUGGUCUGAAUUUGUCUGCCAUCUCUGUCUUUUCCCCUCUCCCCUACUUUCCUAUUCUAUCCUUCACAAGGUGAUUACUGCUUCACCACAGUGCAUAGUGACGCAAAGGUCCUUCUCUUUCUGUCUCUCUCUCUCUCGCUGGUUUUGGAUUGGGUGCGUGUCUAUUGCUUCGGUGACUGUUCUGGCUUUUCUGCCUGUCUGCUUGACUUAGAGGGGCCCUGGUCAAAAGUAGUGCACUUUGUAGGGAAUAGUGCGCCAGACGAUGUCUCUGGUUUCUGCUACCUCAGCUUGCCUGGUGGAAGACUGUUGGGGAGGGUAUAUGGGGUGGGGUAGUAUAGGCUCAAGGGCUUUCUGUACAGAUUGACAAGAACGUUUGGUAUUUUGUUGGUUGCGAGUGACGUUACAGGGAUGAGGGUCAAUUGGGUAGUGAUGAACCGUCCAUAUGCUUGACUAUUGGAAAGGGGGUCGGGAAGAUGGGGGGGGGUAACCCCUUCGCUUGUAACAUUUCGGGGUUUCUAUGAAAAACAAAAAAACAUCUCAUUUGUUUGUUAAUUUCUAGUUGAAGUUGAUAAUGCCUGCCGUGUUUCUAGCUUUGGAACCGUCCGUGUUGUUUGAACGCUGGUUUCUUUGACAACCACAAGCCUUCUGUAUUCUUCUGUAUUCUUCUGUAUUCUUCUGUAUUCUUUGGUUCUGGUUUGUCGUCGUCGUCGUGUGGAAAUACUAUCAGAUACUGCAGCAGUGUAUUAAAAGGGUUUGACUGAAGAGCAGCACUGACUCAGGACCACAGAUCAACCAGAUGUCAGAGGGACACCUGCCAGGUGUUUUAGUUCAGACUUCUAGAGCAGCUCUGACUCAGGACCACAGAUCAACCAGAUGUCAGAGGGACACCUGCCAGGUGUUUUAGUUCAGACUUCUAGAGCAGCUCUGACUCAGGACCACAGAUCAACCAGAUGUCAGAGGGACACCUGCCAGGUGUUUUAGAGCAGACUUCUAGAGCAGCUCUGACUCAGUACCACAGAUCAACCAGAUGUCAGAGGGACACCUGCCAGGUGUUUUAGUUCAGACUUCUAGAGCAGCUCUGACUCAGGACCACAGAUCAACCAGAUGUCAGAGGGACACCUGCCAGGUGUUUUAGUUCAGACUUCUAGAGCAGCGCUGACUCAGGACCACAGAUCAACCAGAUGUCAGAGCGACAUCUGCCAGGUGUUUUAGUUCAGACUUCUAGAGCAGCUCUGACUCAGGACCACAGAUCAACCAGAUGUCAGAGGGACAUCUGCCAGGUGUUUUAGAGCAGCUCUGGUAAAGAACAUGUGGCGAAUAAGAUGAACCCUGUUUUACAGUUGAAGAAGAAUUUCCAGUCAUGUACAUUCGUAGAUCAGUACUAAGAAAAGAGAUCUGCCGACUGUCUGUGUGUUAACCCAAUACUUACUCUCUACUCUGGCCAAAGAGGGAUAUGAUAUCCAUUCUUGAAAGCCAGACUUUGACCACUUUGACUUAGCUCUUCUUUACACAGCCUUUUGUUAACUAAUUACCACACGAUUUCAGCCAAAUACCUAUUUUCUUUCAGUGCUUUAUAAACAGCAAGGAUUGUAAAAAAUAGAACGGCAAUUUCACGGGGAAAGGAAUUGAUUUGUUUCAUUGUCUCGUCUAUUGUCAUUGUAUGGUGUUGGUGUGCAACAACUUCAAAAAAUAAACCUUACAACGCAGAAUACCUCAGAAUAUAAAUCCAUGUCAAGCUUGCCAGCCUCCAUGGCGUUGUUAGUUCCUCUACAUUUUGCCCUCUUGAUGCUCCACAUGCUUUUUCCUCUGUUAUUUCCACUUGUAUCCCUCACACGGCAUGUAGCACAUAGUGGACGUGUCAUAGCUUCUUUUUUUUCUUGUUCUGGGGACUUUUUAAGACGGGUCUCUCAUUCAGUCCCUCCCCGGAGCCAGAGAUAAAGAGAGAAGGAGGUGAUUGGGAGUGAAAGGAACACUAAUUCACAUUCUAGAAUUCAUUUUGGGAUCUCGUUUGAUCCUGAAGUCACGAGAGACUAUAUCUGCUGAUUUGAACUGGAGCUCGGUUUCCUCGUCUCUUCUCUUUCAUUAUUUUGAAACUAGAGAUGCUCAGAGGCCGAAGGUCAAUCUGUUAAAGUCCUAUAAUCCCCAUUUCUUUCCUUUUGGAUACCUCUUUUUGAUUUAUCAUCUACAUUCUCAUCAUUAAAACUGAAUGUAACGACACAAACUAACCUCACGAUUCUAACUUGACAGAUGGAAGAAAAACAGAUACUAUAUAUGUACAUAUGUAUAACACACAACACACAAUGCAUUGUAUAUAUACAGAUCUCCUAAAGACAGAUACAUACUUAUCUUGUGGAAGGGGAAAAACAACCGUUUCCUUUGUUUGAUUCAGGGAACAAAAGUCCAGUGCGGCAUGUUAGAUAUCACUCCCAUGGCUCUCUUUCUGACUGUAUGUUAGAUAUCACUCCCAUGGCUCUCUUUCUGACUGUAUGUUAGAUAUCACUCCCAUGGCUCUCUUUCUGACUGUAUGUUAGAUAUCACUCCCAUGGCUCUCUUUCUGACUGUAUGUUAGAUAUCACUCCCAUGGCUCUCUUUCUGACUGUAUGUUAGAUAUCACUCCCAUGGCUCUCUUUCUGACUGUAUGUUAGAUAUCACUCCCAUGGCUCUCUUUCUGAUUGUAUGUUGCAUGUAUUCUCCUCAUGAUGUAGCAGUGGGCAGGGGGUGGCGGAGUUUAAACAAGUGGAGCUUUUAGAGUAGGUAGCUAGUCUUUUGAAACCUGAUUAUGUGAAGGGGGGGUGGGGUUUUGAAAUGACACUGUAAAGACAGUAUAUUUAUGAAACAGAAGAAUAGCACGUCAUGGUCCCAUUGUCAUCUGUCCUUUAUCAGGUUAGGUGUAGCCUACGAUAUGUCAACUCCUGACUAAAGUCUUGUGUUUUUCAAGUUGGAUUUGGCACAGAUUAAAGAAGGAAGGAAGGAUGGAAGGAGAAGAGGACAUGCAUUCAGUGAUGUCACUUGAUAUACCUCCUUCAGUGUCCAAUCAGAGUCCAGUUGGAGCAACACAAGGAUUCCGAUUGGUUGGAUAUUUUUUGCAUGCCAGUGUACGUACAUUGUAAAAGAUUGUUGCUGGAGCGGGCAGUUGUUUACGAAAGUGGAAUGUACGCAGGACAGAUUCCAAUGUUUAGAUAUGACAUAUUUGCCCUUGAGAGAAGCCGUCCUUUUCUCAGAAAGAGGUGUGCACUUAAGGUUAGUUUUAGUCACUGCAACCGCUCUCAUAGUGUUUUUUUUUGCUAAAGCUCUUUUCAGAAUAACUUUUUCCUUCUUUAAAGUCAAAAAAAAAGAAGAAACAAUUGUGAGUGUGUGAGUGCCUGUACGUGUUGCUGCUUGAUGGUGUGAAAUGCUUUUAGUUUCCUCUUGUCGGGCCUGUGACGCCUGUGCCCUCCAACCAUACUGUAGCCUGAGCUGCGUUUGCAACACAGAACUAUCAGUGCUCUUUUUAACGUUUUUGGAACACUGACACUGGUUUAAUAGUGCAAGGCUGAAGCGUUGCAGUUCUGAAUGCACCCUUCAAUGCUUUCUAUAGAAAUAAUUAUAUCACCCACUCUCUGCCUCACAGACAAGACACUACAUGUCCCAGAAAUCCUCAGCUAAGACAAUACAUUAGCCAGACAUCCUCAGCCCAGACACGACAUUACGCAGACACCCUCAGCCCAGACACGACGUUACCCAGACACCCUCAGCCCAGACACGACGUUACCCAGACACCCUCAGCCCAGACACGACGUUACGCAGACACCCUCAGCCCAGACACGACGUUGCCCAGACAACCUCAGCCCAGACACGACGUUACCCAGACAACCUCAGCCCAGACACAACGUUACCCAGACACCCUCAGCCCAGACACAACGUUACCCAGACACCCUCAGCCCAGACACUACGUUACCCAGACACCCUCAGCCCAGACACGACGUUACCCAGACACCCUCAGCCCAGACACGACGUUACCCAGACACCCUCAGCCCAGACACGACGUUACCCAGACACCCUCAGCCCAGACACAACGUUACCCAGACACCCUCAGCCCAGACACUACGUUACCCAGACACCCUCAGCCCAGACACAACGUUACCCAGACACCCUCAGCCCAGACACUACGUUACCCAGACAUCCUCAGGGAAUUAAGAUAACACUGCUCUCACUCUAUUCAGGUACUUUCUCUAGAUUCUGAGGCCUAGCAGUGAUCUGUAGUUAUUUUUAGUUAUUAUGAUUAUUUCAUUUUUUAUUUUUUAUAUUACUUUUGUAUUAUUAUUCACUGUAAAAAGAAAAUGUCAAGUGUCCUGAAAAGUUACUUUAAUUUUAUAUUUUGUUUUCUCCCUUGGUCCCUCAAAAAAAAAAUGUAAUUCUAUUUUAUAAAAUGUAGAUUAAGAUCCCACAUCUAAUGAAUGUCUAUCUACUUCUCAGCUCAGGUGGAGAGGGUCCUCAAAGCACGUAAACUGCCCUCUCUACGCACCGUGCCUCAGACUCUGUGGCUUAUAUACUGGGGACCACAUGGCGGCUACUUAACACUGCCGUAAGGCUACAUAACACUGUCAUAAGCAUGACAUAACAGGUCCUAGAUGCUUAUGACAAGCUACUGUACCUUUUAUAAGCUGACAUGACACUUUGACUGCCACCUCAUUAGAGGUGUAACCUUCUAUCCCUCUCUGACAAACACAACACCUCUGAACACAACAGUGUGAGUACUGCCUUCUGGCUCACCUGCCAAUCAAUCAAACGUCAGCGUUAGCACUGUAAUCUUCUCAGAACAUCAACAAAUCACCUCACAGAACCGUCUGACCUGAACAAAAGGCACCUCUGGAACUUCUAAAACCGCAGUCAUCAAGUUGAGGGAGAAACUAUCAUCCACAGCCAGCCAAGUCAACUGAAAAGUCAUUUUAUUCGCAGUUCCUUUGAAGUUUUGCGACAAAAAUGAAAAAAUGUAUAUAUCAGUUGGCUUGUUUUGUUUGCAGCUUUUUGUGCUUGUUUUGUUCAAAGUGCUGCUGAGUGGUUGAUGAUGGAUGACUAACUGGCUUGCUGUUGUGUGGGACUUCAGUAAAUGUUCUGCUAAUCCGGUAAGCCUACGUACAUCUUUUGUUGCCUGGCGAUACGUUUUCAAAAUGACCGUCUGACUUUGGUUUUCAAUUCUUCAUAUUUUGCGUUUGAACUUGGCAAUCCUUCUUUGUAUAUUCUGAAUGUUUGGUGUGGUGCUGGCGUCGGUGCUGGUGUGGUCUGGUGCUGGUUUGUGAUGCCAGCGAUGGAGAUAUCAGUUUGGUCGGUGUUCUUAAAAAGGUUUUCAAACGCUGGGUGUCUGACUUCUCUAGAUAGCCCUACUGCAGGUAUGAUCCGAGACUGGUUCAUUCUUAACGGAUGAAAUACUUCUACUUACUUACUUGGUGACUUUUCCUAGCUAAGGCUUUGCUAAUUUACUAGCUAACUCUACUUUCUAACAAGUGAACUGAUGCCCUCUAUUCGGGGCCUGGCGUUUCCUCUGUAUUUCCGAGAGAGAUUUCUGGGUUUGUUGAUAUACCUCAUGCUAUCCAGAUGGAGUAGAUAGGGGGCGCUGUUGUUGUGGAAAGCAAUGUCUCGCCCCCUGUUAUAGAACGGUUCCUUAUAGCUCGUUUUUAUACUCGGGUUCUUUCUGGGAGUCCAACCCUGUACCUCACACCCGGAAGGCUUUCUCUCUCUUUCUCCAUAGAAACUGGAAUGGACCUCAUUUUUUUUCAAUAUCUACUACUGUUUACAGUUUGGGCAGAACAUUGUAUAAUUUAAAUAUUUUUCUCUUACUGUCGUUUUUUGUUUAUGUACAUUUAUCCAAAACUUUUUGUACUGUGUGAGUUGGAGUUUUUAUUCUAGGCUUGUAUGAUUGAUCGAUGUCCGUUUUUAAUUGAGCACUUAAAAGAGGAUCACAUGAAUUAUGUUUGAUUGAUUUGUUGAUUGAAUGAUGGGUUGAUUGAAUACACUAUCUGUUUUUGUUUUCCCCAUUUUUUUUAAUGCAAAAUCUGAUUUUACUAAAUGGGCUAAUGAAAUAAUAAAAAAAAUCUGUCAUCUAAUGUGAUAAAAAAAAUCUAUAAAAAAAUCUGUGGUCUGUUAUUUGUUUUUUUAUUUUGCAUUGAACUUCGGGCUGAUUAGAUCCGUCUUUGUGCAUGUGUUAAAAAAAUAUUUUACUGGUUAUGUUAUUAUUGAAAUUUGGAAUAAAUGCCAUUUUGGCAACACAUUUCAGCUGUACCGUUCUGUAAGGUGGUAUGAUGCUAGAGCUUCUUUUCAAAACCACUAUUCUUCUAAUAAAUUUUGUUGUGAAAAUAA